ACCGAAGCUGCGGCAGCGACACUGUGUGUUGUUGGGUAGGGGAGCGUUCUGUAAGCCUGUGAAGGUGUGUCGUGAGGCAUGCUGGAGGUAUCAGAAGUGCGAAUGCUGACAUAAGUAACGAUAAAGCGGGUGAAAAGCCCGCUCGCCGGAAGACCAAGGGUUCCUGUCCAACGUUAAUCGGGGCAGGGUGAGUCGACCCCUAAGGCGAGGCCGAAAGGCGUAGUCGAUGGGAAACGGGUUAAUAUUCCCGUACUUGGUGUUACUGCGAAGGGGGGACGGAGAAGGCUAUGUUGGCCGGGCGACGGUUGUCCCGGUUUAAGCGUGUAGGUGUGUGUUCCAGGUAAAUCCGGUUCACUUUAACACUGAGGCGUGACGACGAGGCACUACGGUGCUGAAGCAACAAAUGCCCUGCUUCCAGGAAAAGCCUCUAAGCAUCAGGUAACAUCAAAUCGUACCCCAAACCGACACAGGUGGUCAGGUAGAGAAUACCAAGGCGCUUGAGAGAACUCGGGUGAAGGAACUAGGCAAAAUGGUGCCGUAACUUCGGGAGAAGGCACGCUGACACGUAGGUGAAGUGAUUUACUCAUGGAGCUGAAGUCAGUCGAAG
rnacentral:rRNA from 2 species